ACUGAAACAUCUAAGUAAGCGGAGGAAAAGAAAAUAAUAAUGAUUCCCCAAGUAGUGGCGAGCGAACGGGGAAUAGCCCAAACCUAUUAUGUUACGGCAUAAUAGGGGUUGUAGGACUACAAUGUGAAUAUAAUUGCUAAGAAGAAGCUUCUGGAAAGUUGCGCCAUAGCGGGUGAUAGCCCCGUAUUCGUAAACAAUUAUGUUCUAGUAGGAUCCUGAGUACCACGGAGUCGGUGAAGCUUUGUGGGAAACUGCCAGCACCAUCUGGUAAGGCUAAAUACUCCUGAGAGACCGAUAGUGAACUAGUACCGCGAGGGAAAGGUGAAAAGUAUCUCGAAUAGAGAGGUGAAAAGAACCUGAAACCGUGCGCCUACAAGCGGUCGGAGUCCCAAUUUAUUGGGAUGACGGCGUGCCUUUUGCAUAAUGAGCCUACGAGUUACUCCUCACUGGCAAGGUUAACCACGACAACGUGGGCAGCCGAAGCGAAAGCGAGUCUUAACAGGGCGAAUAGUCAGUGGGGGUAGACGCGAAACUUUGUGAUCUACCCUUGGUCAGGUUGAAGUUGCAGUAACAUGCAAUGGAGGACCGAACCAUUAAACGUUGAAAAGUUUUUGGAUGAACUGAGGGUAGGGGUGAAAGGCCUAUCAAACUAAGAGAUAGCUCGUACUCCCCGAAAUGUUUUUAGGAACAGCCUCGUGUAAUUGUGUGUUAGAGGUAGAGCUACGA
rnacentral:rRNA from 1 species